rnacentral:rRNA from 1 species
GACGGGGGAUGCAAGCGAUAUCCGGAAUCACUGGGCGUAAAGCGUCUGUAGGUGGUGAUGCAAGUCACUGGUGCAAAACUCUGGCUCAACCGGAGGAAAGCCAGUGAAACUGCAUGACUAGAGUGAGGGAGAGGUAGAAGGAAUUCCCUGAGUAGCGGUGAAAUGCGUAGAUACAGGGAAGAACACCGGAGGCGAAAGCGUUCUACUGGAACACAACUGACACUGAGAGACUAAAGCUAGGGGAGCGAAUGUG